rnacentral:rRNA from 1 species
UACGUAGGUGGCAAGCGUUGUCCGGAUUUAUUGGGUUUAAAGGGUGCGUAGGCGGCCCUGUAAGUCAGUGCUGAAAUAUCCCGGCUUAACCGGGAGGGUGGCAUUGAUACUGCGGGGCUAGAGUACAGAUGAGGUAGGCGGAAUUGACGGUGUAGCGGUGAAAUGCUUAGAUAUCGUCAAGAACACCUAUAGCGAAGGCAGGUCUCUGGGCUGAAACUGACGCUCAUGCACGAAAGCGUGGGGAGCAAACAGG